UGGGGUAUCGUCCAAUGGCAGGACGCCGGUCUCUGACACCGUCAAUCUAGGUUCGAGUCCUAGUACCCCAA
rnacentral:tRNA from 1 species